CAGAGAAUAGUUUAAUUUAGAGAAUUGUAACUUUGGGAGUUAUUGGUACAAAUAUAGAGUUUUGUUUCUCUGA
rnacentral:tRNA from 1 species